UUGUUUAUUUUUUUAGCGAGUUAGCCAAAAAGCCAACCCUGAAAUAAUUUCAUCCCUUGUUUGAAACCCCCUUGAGCCUAUUAUCUUUUUUUUUGUUUAAAACUCAUUACAAGCCGAGAAGUGAAAAACAAUGUUAUCACGCUAUUCAAAGGGUUGGAAGAGUCUUGUUUGGAGUUGUGUGGAGUUGAAUAAAUAUAUUUGUAAUAGUUCGGAAGUUGGCAGAAAAAGAAAAGAAAAAUAGAAAAAUAAAAUAGAAAAGAAAAAAAAAUGAAUGAAAAAAUAGAAGGAUGUCAACAUACUCCUUAUGAAAAAGAAAAAAAAAGGAGAAGAGAAAACAAUUGCUAUAUAGUUGUUGAAGUGAAUGAAAU
rnacentral:lncRNA from 1 species